UACGGGGGGGGGCAAGCGUUGUUCGGAAUUACUGGGCGUAAAGGGCGCGUAGGCGGCCAUCUAAGUCAGACGUGAAAUCCCUCGGCUCAACCGAGGAACUGCGUCUGAUACUGGAAGGCUUGAAUCCGGGAGAGGGAUGUGGAAUUCCGAGUGUAGAGGUGAAAUUCGUAGAUAUUCGGAGGAACACCAGAAGCGAAGGCGGCUCACUGGCCCGAGACUGACGCUGAGGCGCGAAAGCGUGGGGAGCAAACAGG
rnacentral:rRNA from 1 species